CCUGGCUCAGAUUGAACGCUGGCGGCAUGCCUUACACAUGCAAGUCGAACGGCAGCGGACCUUCGGGUGCCGGCGAGUGGCGAACGGGUGAGUAAUAUAUCGGAACGUACCUUUCAGUGGGGGAUAACGUAGCGAAAGUUACGCUAAUACCGCAUAUUCUGUGAGCAGGAAAGCAGGGGAUCGCAAGACCUUGCGCUGAUUGAGCGGCCGAUAUCAGAUUAGCUAGUUGGUGAGGUAAAGGCUCACCAAGGCGACGAUCUGUANCGGGUCUGAGAGGAUGAUCCGCCACACUGGAACUGAGACACGGUCCAGACUCCUACGGGAGGCAGCAGUGGGGAAUUUUGGACAAUGGGCGCAAGCCUGAUCCAGCCAUGCCGCGUGAGUGAAGAAGGCCUUCGGGUUGUAAAGCUCUUUCGGCCGGGAAGAAAUCGCACGGGUUAAUACCCUGUGUGGAUGACGGUACCGGAAUAAGAAGCACCGGCUAACUACGUG
rnacentral:rRNA from 1 species